AACGCUAGCUACAGGCUUAACACAUGCAAGUCGAGGGGUAGCAGGGUAGCAAUACCGCUGGCGACCGGCGCACGGGUGAGUAACACGUAUCCAACCUUCCCAUAACUCGGGGAUAGCCUUUCGAAAGAAAGAUUAAUACCCGAUAGUACUUUUUUAGGGCAUCUUAGAAAAGUUAAAGAUUUAUUGGUUAUGGAUGGGGAUGCGUUCCAUUAGAUAGUUGGUGAGGUAACGGCUCACCAAGUCUUCGAUGGAUAGGGGUUCUGAGAGGAAGGUCCCCCACAUUGGUACUGAGACACGGACCAAACUCCUACGGGAGGCAGCAGUGAGGAAUAUUGGUCAAUGGGCGAGAGCCUGAACCAGCCAAGUAGCGUGAAGGAUGACGG
rnacentral:rRNA from 1 species